UCACAGCCAAGGGCACAAUCUUCAUACUCCA
rnacentral:piRNA from 1 species